CGCCGACCUUUCCUCUCGCAGGUACCCGUCGUUGCCACCGUCGGAGUUGCUCGCGCCGCCGCCCUGGGAUCCCACUGCCGCUGCCGCCACCGGGAAUGGGUUUCCCGGGACCAGAUCCGCCCUCUCCGGUCCUUCCCGCUGCCCUCACCGGCCGGAGUUGCUGCUGCCCCGCCGUUGACUUCGGGCGCCGCCGUCCCCUGCAUCUUGCCUGUGCGCCUCAGGCACGAGGAGAACGACACCGGCGCCUCAUCCUCAUGCGUAGGCUCGAUCCGCCAAGGCCCAGCCACAGCACCCAGCGCGCCCCCCCUUCCGGCCUGCCGGCCUCAUCUCUUCCACCGGCUGGGCCUCAGCCCACUAGGUGAGGCCACCCCCAGCGCCCGCACCCUAUGCACUUUUGGGCCUGCCAGUUUCGGCCUGUUGCAUUUUUUUUCUGCGCUGCGAUUUUCUCUAUUAUCCGGGGAAUUACUGUUUUACAGAAAAACCCCUCCAUGUUCAUGCAUUAAUAAUUCACAAACCGUGCAUCGGAUUAAAAUGUUUUUAACAUGUAAAAUGCUUAGAAUUUUGUGUAGUUUAAUAAUAUGCCACUUUCAUCCAUGUUUAAAAUGUUUAAAAUGUUGUUUGUUUAAAUUUGCUCAUAUGCCAUGCUAAAAUGCUUUAAUACAUAACUAAAUAACCGUUGCUCCGUUUUAAAUGUUCUUUAUAUGUAUUUGGGGUGGAAAAAUGCCUAGAUUAACAUGGUCCACUUUAUUUUCCUGUUUAACAACUUUAAAAUUGUGUUUAGGGCAGAACAGUACCAAAUCUAUAAUAUGCUCAUGAGGAGUUACCGGAAUUGUUGUUCGUUGCUUCCGGCCUCAUUUAACCUUGACUAGGUAGCUAGUUUUACUUUGCUUCACCCUCUUGCCAUGUUAAUCAACGGCCUCAUUUAUUGUUGGAUACAUAAACGAGAUCAAACUAAAUAACUUGAAUGUGGUGUUUCGUCAAUAUGCAACGAAGUUGCAUAUUGAGCUCCAUUUAAUUUGUAGGAUUGCUUGUGCCUUGCCAUGCCAUGCAUACUUAAACCGGACAUGCAUCAUACUUGAUUGUGCAUCAUGCCAUGAUUUUGUGGUGGUUGUUUACUAUGUUGUUUGCUCUUUUCCGGUGUUGCUUCUUCGGGUUGGUUCCGGUAACGUCGUGUUGUGAGGAUUCGUUCGUCUACGUCCGUUUGUCUUCUUCAUGGACUCGUUCUUCUUCCUUGCAGGAUUUCAGGCAAGAUGAUCAUACCCUCGAAAUCACUACUAUCUUUGCUAUGCUAGUUUGCUCGCUCUUCGCUAUGCCAAUGCUACGAUGCCUACCUUUUGCUUGUCAGCCUCCCAAUUGCCAUGUUCAGCCUCUAACCCACCAAUGUCCUAGCAAACUGUUGAUUGGCUAUGUUACCGCUUUGCUCAGCCCCUCUUAUAGCGUUGGUAGUUGCAGGUGAAGAUUGAAGUUUGUUCCUUGUUGGAACAUGGAGAUACCGUUCCUUGUUGGAACAUUUAUUUACUUGUUGGGAUAUCACUAUAUAUCUUAUUUUAUUAAUGCAUCUAUAUACUUGGUAAAGGGUGGAAGGCUCGGCCUUAUGCCUGGUGUUUUGUUCCACUCUUGCCGCCCUAGUUUCCGUCAUAUCGGUGUUAUGUUCCCGGAUUUUGCGUCCCUUACGCGGUUGGGCUAUAAUGGGAACCCCUUGACAGUUCGCCUUAAGUAAAGCUCUUCCAGCAAUGCCCAACAUUGGUUUCACCAUUCGCCACCUAGCCUUUUCUUUCCCUUGGGUCGGCCAGCCCGAGGGUCAUCUUUAUUUUACCCCCCCCCCCCGGGCCAGUGCUCCUCUGAGUGUUGGUCCGAACUAGAGUCCUGUGCAGCGCCCCCUCGGGGCAACUCGAGGUUUGGCUUUAGUUGUAUGGAGCGCUCAUCUGAGUGUGCCCUGAGAAAGAGAUAUGUGCAGCUCCUAUCGGGAUUUGUCGGCACAUUCGGGCGGUGUUGCUGGUUUAGUUUUACCCUGUCGAAAUGUCUUGUUGUAUCGGGAUACCGAGUCUGAUCGGAACGUCUCGCGAGGAGGUCUAUUCCUUCGUUGACCGUGAGAGCUUGUGAUGGGCUAAGUUGGGACACCCUGCAGGGAUUUGAACUUUCGAAAGCCGUGCCCGCGGUUAUGGGCAGAUGGGAAUUUGUUAACGUCCGGUUGUAGAAAACCCAAAGUUGACCUUAAUUAAAAUACAUCAACCGUGUGUGUAAACGUGAUGGUCUCUUUCCGACGGAGUCCGGGAAGUGAACACGGUUGUUGGAGUUAUGCUUGACGUAGGUAGUCCAGGAUCACUUCUUGAUCAUACUUUUAUCGACCGUGCUUUGCCUUCUCUUCUCGCUCUCAUUUGCGUAUGUUAGCCACCAUAUAUGCUAGACGCUUGCUGCAGCUCCACCUCAUACAUUUAGCUUACCCAUAAGCUUAAAUAGUCUUGAUUGCGAGGGUGCGAGAUUGCUGAGUCCCCGUGGCUCAUAGAUACUUCCAAAACCAGCUUGCAGGUGCCGUUGAGUCCGUACAGAUGACGCAACCAAGCUCAGGAGGAGCUCGAUGAAGAUCUUGUCCUUUGUGUUAUUUCCGUUCUAGCUGAUCAGUAGUGGAGCCCAGUUGGGGUCGAUCGGGGGCCUUUUGUCGCAUUUGGGGUUCUUCUUUUAUUUUGGUUCCGUAGUCGGACCUUGAUUGUAUCUGGUUGAUGUAAUGCUUUAUUCUUGUAAUUGUGUGAAGUGGCGAUUGUAAGCCAGCUAUGUAUCUCUUUCCCUUAUUAUAUUACAUGGGUUGUGUGAAGAUUACCUCACUUGCGACAUAUGCCUUCAAUGCGAUUAUGCCUCUAAGUCGUGCCUCGACACGUGGGAGAUAUAGUCGCAUCGAGGGCGUUACAAACCUGCUUAGAGCUGCCAUGCAACCAGCCAGACGCCUUACGUCCUUGACGCGUUUUGAUGAUUCCAACUGCUCAAUUGCUUUGAUCUUGUCGGGAUUGGCUUCAACUCCAUGCUGAGAUACAAAGAAC
rnacentral:lncRNA from 1 species